rnacentral:rRNA from 1 species
AAACCAGCACCUCAAGUGGUCAGGAGGAUUAUUGGGCCUAAAGCAUCCGUAGCCUGCUCUGUAAGUUUCCGGUUAAAUUCAUUAGCUCAACUAAUGGCCUGCCGGAAAUACUGCAGAACUAGGAAGUGGGAGAGGUAGACGGUACUCGGUAGGAAGGGGUAAAAUCCUUUGAUCUAUUGAUGACCACCUGUGGCGAAGGCGGUCUACCAGAACACGUUCGACGGUGAGGGAUGAAAGCUGGGGGAGCAAACCGGAUUAGAAACCCCUGUAGUCC